rnacentral:rRNA from 1 species
UGGGAAUAUUGCACAAUGGGCGAAAGCCUGAUGCAGCAACGCCGCGUGAGUGAUGAAGGCCUUCGGGUUGUAAAGCUCUGUCUUUUGGGACGAUAAUGACGGUACCAAAGGAGGAAGCCACGGCUAACUACGUGCCAGCAGCCGCGGUAAUACGUAGGUGGCAAGCGUUGUCCGGAUUUACUGGGCGUAAAGGAUGCGUAGGCGGAUUUUUAAGUGAGAUGUGAAAUACCCGGGCUUAACUUGGGUGCUGCAUUUCAAACUGGAAUCUAGAGUGCGGGAGAGGAGAAUGGAAUUCCUAGUGUAGCGGUGAAAUGCGUAGAGAUUAGGAAGAACACCAGUGGCGAAGGCGAUUCUCUGGACCGUAACUGACGCUGAGGCAUGAAAAGCGUGGGUAGCAAACAGGAUUAGAUACCCUGGUAGUCCACGCCGUAAACGAUGAGUACUAGGUGUAGGAGGUAUCGACCCCUUCUGUGCCGCAGUUAACACAAUAAGUACUCCGCCUGGGAAGUACGAUCGCAAGAUUAAAACUCAAAUGAAUUGACGGGGUC